rnacentral:rRNA from 1 species
AUUGAACGCUGGCGGCAUGCCUUACACAUGCAAGUCGAACGGCAGCACGGGAGCAAUCCUGGUGGCGAGUGGCGAACGGGUGAGUAAUAUAUCGGAACGUACCUUUCAGUGGGGGGAUAACGUAGCGAAAGUUACGCUAAUACCGCAUAUUCUGUGAGCAGGAAAGCAGGGGAUCUUAGGACCUUGCGCUGAUUGAGCGGCCGAUAUCAGAUUAGCUAGUUGGUGAGGUAAAGGCUCACCAAGGCGACGAUCUGUAGCGGGUCUGAGAGGAUGAUCCGCCACACUGGAACUGAGACACGGUCCAGACUCCUACGGGAGGCAGCAGUGGGAAUUUGGACAAUGGGGGCAACCUGAUCCAGCCAUGCCGCGUGAGUGAAGAAGGCCU